UGUGGCGUUUAUGGAGGAAGCGUGCCGGAGGUUGGCUCUGCAGCAAGUCCCCCUGACCGGGGCUGUUACCCAGAGCGGGUGCGAGGCCCAUAGCUGCUAGGUCUCCUCCGGAUGCGACCUCUUGGGAGUCGGGUUGCUUGGGAGUGCAACCCUAAUCGGGUGGUAAACUCCACCUAAGACUAAAUACGGCCGUGAGACCGAUAGCAAACAAGUACCGUGAGGGAAAGUUGCAAAGAACUUUGAAGAGAGAGUUCAAGAGUACGUGAAACUGCUCAGAGGCAAACGGGUGGGCCCUCGAAAUCCUGUGGCGGGGGGAUUCAGUCAGAAGGAGCGGAGGUGUUCGCCGGUCGUUUUAGACGGACCCUCUCCAGGCCGGGCCGGCGGCACGGUCUCCUCUCCGCCUGACGCAUUUCCUCCCGCACGAAGGACGCCGCAGCCGGUUGGGUAGCUGCGCGAGUCGGCCUUAAGGGCGGGCGAGGAAGGUGGCCGGUGGCGAGGCGCAAGCCUUUCCGCCGGUUGUUAGCCAGUCCGCCCGUGGCGCGACACCCGACCGAGGUUGACAGGUCCCUUCCUGGGGACUUCGCCGUCCCCCACAACUCGUGGCGGGCGCUCCGGCAUGCACGUCCCGCCGAUGACGCGUCACUCUCCGAGUGGCCGGCACGACGGGUCUGCUAGGUGGUCGGAAGCGGCCCGCGGGGGCUCCGGCGGCUAGCGGCGAGUAGGUCGGUCACCCACCCGACCCGUCUUGAAACACGGACCAAGGAGUCUAACAUGUGCGCGAGUCACGGGGUCUUGCUUAGGCCCAGAGGCGCAAUGAAAGUGAAGGUCGGCCUCGACGUCGACUGUGUUGGG
rnacentral:rRNA from 1 species